rnacentral:rRNA from 1 species
GAUGAACGCUGGCGGCGUGCCUAAUACAUGCAAGUCGAGCGAACGGACGAGAAGCUUGCUUCUCUGAUGUUAGCGGCGGACGGGUGAGUAACACGUGGAUAACCUACCUAUAAGACUGGGAUAACUUCGGGAAACCGUAGCUAAUACCGGAUAAUAUUUUGAACCGCAUGGUUCAAAAGUGAAAGACGGUCUUGCUGUCACUUAUAGAUGGAUCCGCGCUGCAUUAGCUAGUUGGUAAGGUAACGGCUUACCAAGGCAACGAUGCAUAGCCGACCUGAGAGGGUGAUCGGCCACACGGGAACUGAGACACGGUCCAGACUCCUACGGGAGGCAGCAGUAGGGAAUCUUCCGCAAUGGGCGAAAGCCUGACGGAGCAACGCCGCGUGAGUGAUGAAGGUCUUCGGAUCGUAAAACUCUGUUAUUCGGGAAGAACAUAUGUGUAAGUAACUGUGCACAUCUUGACGGUACCUAAUCAGAAAGCCCCGGCUAACUACGUG